UCUUGGGAGAGCAAAGAGGUCAAGCCUAGUUGCUAGCAGCAUAGAUGGUUGAAGUUGGAAGGGCCUUAGACUACUUCUAGUUCUAGACUCUCACUGGACAGAAAAGGCUUCGAAGGGUGCCCCUCGCAACCCGAGGAAGUGGCUGAAAGGGCCUUGGGAUCUACUCUGGGGUUGCCUCUCCCCACUUCUGUGACUUGGUAUGGGACUCUGAGCUUCAGUUUUCUCCUCCAUGCACUGAAGAUGAUGCCUACUGCCUAGUUUUCUUGUGGGGUCAGUGAGAUAAUCCAGGCAUUCUACAGGGGAGAAAUUAGGAGGUGUUCUGUUAGUUAGCUCUUCUAAUCUCUCCCUCCUUAUUUUUCUUAUGAGCCCAAUUCUCCACACAGACCAUUUUCCCCAGUAGGCUAUACAUUUCUGGAGAUCAGGGACCCCAUGAAAUUCGUCUUGGGUUUCUCAGCACCUGGGGACAGUGUCUGGCAUCUGCCAGCAAGGUUUCAAAUAACCUGUGUUGUGCAACCUGUCAGAGCACGAAUGUUCCCAGAAGACUAGACAACAGCCCUCGGGGAAGGCCCCACAGCUGGCAAGUCUGGGACCUCAACAGUUUCCUGCCGUUCAUCCCAUUCGCAGAAGCACAGGAGCCGUAAGGAGGUGGAGUGCUUCCUCUCUCCCGGUGGGCCUGUCCUUCCUUCUGUCAGCACCAAGUGAUGUCCAGCCAGCUGCUGGCUUGGGAACCAAGACCCUGGUCUUCUGAUUUCCCAGCCAGCUGCCUCCCUCCCUGGGAAGGGUCCCCACCCACAGUUGGAUC